AUAAAUAUUGAAUGAAUGAAUAGUUUUCCCAGGGUGAGGCUCAUCCAUUGCACUGUGGGUGUGCUGACCUCUGUGAUUUCCCCAAAUGCAGGAAACUCGACUGCAUUAUUUGUAGUAGUAGAGGACUGCAUUAAAGCUUUCCCCUG
rnacentral:snRNA from 1 species